AGCAGAUAUUUUAGUGGUUAGAUCCCCGGCCUUUGAACUCGGAGGUUGCAGGUUCCAAUCCUGCCCUUUGUUG
rnacentral:tRNA from 1 species